CAAAAUAUUACGUGAUUGUAACUUUACCGCUUUACGCUGUAUUCAAUCUCGUUCAAUAUUAAUCAUUGUGAACUGUUCACUGUUGUCCUGCAAGUUUGUCUUGUACCAGACGCGGUGUAUUUAUAACAAUAACUAGACUAUUGAACCAUAAACUAAAAACUA
rnacentral:misc_RNA from 1 species